AUGUUUGUCAGUUUCAGCCAGGACCCUCUCUAUUUACCAGAACAGGCACCUCCAAACAGUAUGUUAACUUGUUAGUGUUAGUGGUUAUUGUAACUAACUUCAUCGUGUUGGUGUCAUUUUGGCAAAAUUAAUCACAGAAGAAAAUAUGCAAGGGCAUAUAACAAGAGGAAAGAAGCACAGAAAUUACAAAAGUUAAAGAACAUUGUAAAGCGCUGUGAAAGCUAAGAAUAUCUAUGUUAUAGCAAUAAUAAUCAAUGUGAUUCAUUUAUCCAUAAAAAUAAUUUGGUGAGAACUUACAUUUCUGGUCCAACAUGUGAAUAGCUUGGAGGUCAUCACUCCUUCCUCACAAUAAGAAAAGAAUCUGAAGGUCCAGCUGGUGGCACAGCGUUUAAGUGCAUACAUUCCACUUUGGUGGCCUGGGUUUCGCCAGUUUGGAUCCUGGCUGCAGACAUGGCCCCGCUUGGCAAGGCAUGCUGUGGCAGGCGUCCCACAUAUAAAGUAGAGGAAGAUGUGCAUGGAUGUUAGCUCAGGGGUGAGCAGUCUUCCUCAACAAAAAGAGGAUUGGCAACAGAUGUUAGCUCUGGGCUAAUCUCCCACCCCCCAAAAAAGAAAAGAAAAGAAUUUGAAGAAACUGAAAGUCAAACAUUCUUGUUAGAUCCAUCAGAAAAUUGAGGUCACAGAAUAAACUGCUGCUUUGAAAACUGGAAAGGCAGGAGGAUGCAUAGACUCACAGAUUAUUGGGAACAGAAGCUCAGGAUCAGCAGUCAGGAGCUGGAGCCAGUACCAGUAGGAACAUUCAAACUGGAAUUAAUGAAUUUCUGGAAACUCACAUGGGCUAACUAAGAAAUAAAAUCUAUGGGGGGGCCUCCUUAGGGAAACCUCCACACAUUCAUGAUUUUAAUCCCAUGAGUUCCAACAUGUUUUAACCUCAAAUACCGGAGACAAAUUCCCUUGUGUUUCUAUAAAUGGGAGGGAAAAUAUGACCAUUUAAAAUAUCUCCAGAGCUUUCUGUUAUCUUUAACAAAUUCCUGUCCUCAGUGGAAACUAUUUACCAGAGCACUUAGGUUUCCCCACAGUCUUAUUGAUCUGGGGGGAUGGAAAUUCCCCACAUUAAUCCCCUUUAGCCUUCUUGUUUUACCUAAAGGAUGGGAGAAAUUGGGAAAUCACUUGUCAAGAUUACAGUCCAGGGACACAGACUGGUUAAAAGAUUAAGCCAUAAUCAUAGGAUUACAGAAGACAUUCUUGACCCCUCACACCAUACAACCACAUACCAGGUCUCUGGUUUAAUAACAGAAGAUUACAGCAGAAAGGUCUGCAUGCCAUAGACCCUAUUUAAGCAGAAAUCUUUAGGGAACCAAAAGACAAUAGAGUACACAAAACCAAGGACACUAGAGGAAAUUACAGUCUAUGAAACCACAAGUACAGCAAACAGUAAAUACAGCCUAAUUCAUACCCAGACAAAUGUAAACCUCACACUAAAGGCCUAUUUCCCUCAAUUCAGAUUACCUAAUACAUAGUGAGCAUAUGUUAUGGAUUGAGUUGUGUCUCCUAAAAAGUCAU
ensembl:lncRNA